rnacentral:tRNA from 1 species
GCGGCCGUAGUUCAAUGGUUAGAACGUCGGUUUGUGGUACCGGAUACGAGGGUUCAAUUCCCUUCGGCCGCCCCA